rnacentral:rRNA from 1 species
AUGAGAUAUAAGGUACAUUACUUAAGCAAAAACGUAGUAAAACCAAUUUAUCCCCAUACGACAUCAUCCUUCCUGCCAAGUCCCCAGUUUACCUCCAUCUUAUCCUCUACCUUCAACUCGCGCCGCGGGGCCACCGCGCGCCGUCGGCGGCCGCGCACCGACAUCCAGUGCAAGAAUCGCGUCGACACGCUCAAGAAGAAGUACAAGGCCGAGCGCGCCCGCGGUGGGCCCUCCGCCUGGAACUUCUACGGCGAGCUCGACCGCCUUGUCGGCCCCACCCUCUCCGCCUCCGCCGCCACCAAGAAGCACCCCUCCUUCGGGCUGCCGGCCCCUCACUUCGCCCUGCCACUCCAUCCUUCCGCCGCAAGGAGGCACCCGUCGCCCUCGUCUUCGCCGUCCCCGCCUCCGCCCAUGGCUCUGCCGCUGUCCAACUACCGCCACGGGGUACCUCUCCCUGCCGCCGCGUUUAUCCAGCAGGCCGCCGCCGCCGCUGCCGCGAUUUCUGAUUCAGACGACUCUAGUGAUCUCGGUGACAAUAACAACAUCAACUCGCAUCAGUCACCGUCCCACUUCGUUUCAUCGCACUCCGGGGGUAACAACAAGCGCCGCCGUAGUACCGAAAGCAGCGAUGGUGGCGAUGGUGGUGUCGGCGAGCUAGCGAGAGCGAUCGAGGCAUUUGCAGAGAUGUACGAGCGCGUCGAGAGUGCCAAGCAGAAGCAGUCCCUGGAGAUGGAGCGAGAAAGGAUUGCCUUCAUGAAGCAGCUGGAGGUGAAGCGCAUGGAGAACUUCGUCGAUGCACAUGUGAAGCUCGCAAGAAUGAAGCAUGCCAAGAAGAACGAAGGUUAUGCAGCCAAUGGUACCAUUGGAGUCGAGUUGGCUUCCUCCAUGGCUGCGCUGCCUUUCCUCUCCAACCCUGCAUACCUCUAA